AAAGCAGGUUGCAAUUACAGUGCUUCAUUUUGUGGAAGUACUGACAUUAUCCUGCUGAAAGAAAAUCUUGUGUUGAUCAUUUUUGAUUUCGCCUUUAUGAGGGUAAAAUCACGACAGAUUGACAUGGACAAUU